rnacentral:tRNA from 2 species
AACCAAUAUUGUUGAUGGACAACUCACGAUUAUUGUUCGUGAAAAAGCCAUUCCUCUGUUCUACUUAGAGCACUGGUUG